CACGUAGGGCGCAAGCGUUGUCCGGAAUUAUUGGGCGUAAAGAGCUCGUAGGCGGUCUGUUACGUCUGCUGUGAAAACCCGGGGCUUAACCCUGGGCUUGCAGUGGAUACGGGCAGACUAGAGGCAGGUAGGGGAGAAUGGAAUUCCCGGUGUAGCGGUGAAAUGCGCAGAUAUCAGGAGGAACACCGGUGGCGAAGGCGGGUCUCUGGGCCGAUACUGACGCUGAGGAGCGAAAGCGUGGGGAGCAAACGGG
rnacentral:rRNA from 1 species